rnacentral:rRNA from 1 species
ACUGGAACUGAGACACGGUCCAGACUCCUACGGGAGGCAGCAGUGAGGAAUAUUUCACAAUGAGCGAAAGCUUGAUGGAGCAAUGCUGCGUGCAGGAUGAAGGCCCUCGGGUUGUAAACUGCUUUUAUAAGAGAAGAUUAUGACGGUAACUUAUGAAUAAGGGACGGCUAACUACGUGCCAGCAGCCGCGGUCAUACGUAGGUCCCGAGCGUUAUCCGGAGUGACUGGGCGUAAAGAGUUGCGUAGGCGGUCAAGUUAGCGAGCGAUGAAAACUAUCGGCUCAACCGAUAGCUUGUUGUUCGAACUGCUUGACUCGAGAGUAUCAGAGGUCGCUGGAAUUCCUAGUGUAGCAGUGAAAUGCGUAGAUAUUAGGAAGAACACCGAUGGCGUAGGCAGGCGACUGGGAUAUUUCUGACGCUAAGGCACGAAAGCGUGGGUAGCGAACCGGAUUAGAUACCCGGGUAGUCCACGCCGUAAACGAUGGAUGCUAAUUGUUUGAGGUAUCGACCCCUCGAGUAAUAAAGCUAACGCGUUAAGCAUCCCGCCUGUGGAGUACGGCCGCAAGGCUAAAACAUAAAGGAAUUGACGGGGACCCGCACAAGCGGUGGAGGAUGUUCUUUAAUUCGACGUUAAGCGAAGAACCUUACCAGGGCUUGACAUCCCUAGAACUUUUUCGAAAGAAAAAGGUGCCUUCGGGAGCUAGGUGACAGAUCCUGCAUGGCCGUCGUCAGCUCGUGUCGUGAGAUGUUUGGUUAAGUCCAUCAACGAGCGCAACCCUUGUCGUCAGUUGUAUUUUUCUGGCGAGACUGCCCCGGUAACGGGGA